rnacentral:rRNA from 1 species
AGCGACGCCGCGUGAGGGAUGACGGCCUUCGGGUUGUAAACCUCUUUCGACUCCGACRAAGCGAAAGUGACGGUAGGAGUAUAAGAAGCACCGGCCAACUACGUGCCAGCAGCCGCGGUAAUACGUAGGGUGCGAGCGUUGUCCGGAAUUACUGGGCGUAAAGAGCUUGUAGGCGGCUUGUCGCGUCGAUCGUGAAAACUCGGGGCUCAACCCCGAGCUUGCGGUCGAUACGGGCAGGCUUGAGUACUUCAGGGGAGACUGGAAUUCCUGGUGUAGCGGUGAAAUGCGCAGAUAUCAGGAGGAACACCGGUGGCGAAGGCGGGUCUCUGGGAAGUAACUGACGCUGAGAAGCGAAAGCGUGGGUAGCGAACAGGAUUAGAUACCCUGGUAGUCCACGCCGUAAACGGUGGGUACUAGGUGUGGGUUUCCUUCCACGGGAUCCGUGCCGUAGCUAACGCAUUAAGUACCCCGCCUGGGGAGUACGGCCGCAAGGCUAAAACUCAAAGGAAUUGACGGGGGCCCGCACAAGCGGCGGAGCAUGUGGAUUAAUUCGAUGCAACGCGAAGAACCUUACCUGGGUUUGACAUACACCGGAAACCUGCAGAGAUGUAGGCCCCCUUGUGGUCGGUGUACAGGUGGUGCAUGGCUGUCGUCAGCUCGUGUCGUGAGAUGUUGGGUUAAGUCCCGCAACGAGCGCAACCCUUAUCUUAUGUUGCCAGCGCGUAAUGGCGGGGACUCGUGAGAGACUGCCGGGGUCAACUCGGAGGAAGGUGGGGACGACGUCAAGUCAUCAUGCCCCUUAUGUCCAGGGCUUCACACAUGCUACAAUGGCCGGUACAGAGGGCUGCGAUA